UUUCAAUCUUAUGAUUGCUGUAUGCACACAUUGUUAUUUCGAUGAAAGUGCAUGUCCGUCAUUACUGAUCAGUUAGAGAGGUCUGGAAGAUAAAUAUAAUUCAUAAUUUGAACUACUUGAACAACAUAUACUUUAGUUCUUGACUUAUCAUUUUUCUCUUUCGCUGGACUGGUGGUAUUAGACUCAGCUCUGGAAUGGAGACUUGGGAGAAAGAAAAUAAUCAUUAUAUAUAUAUAAGGAUUGUUAUACUUACUUAUAUGUUGUCUGCACAGUGUGAUUUGCUUCCUCAAUUUACUGAGGAUGAUAUUGAUCUUUUGACUAUAGUGGGACAGUUCUUCUUUGUGCUCUUUGAAGAAAUCAAUAUAUAAACCAAUAGGAAAAAAAUAAAUCAAAUAAACAUAUGCCAAUCAAGUAAUUAACAUUACAACAACUCUAUCUAUCAAAUCUUGUCCUAUAAAGUGUGACCAUUAGGUAUUACCUAUAUUAAUUUUAUCAUAAAUUAUAUCCAUAUGCUAAUUAAAUUGCACGCAACUAGUCUUCUUGUCAAUAGAAUUAGAGUUUGGUGGGGUUUAGGUAAUUAAUUAAAAUUAAAUAAUUACUUACGAUUCAGUGGUGAGGCAAUCAAUCUGAGUAACAAUUGCAACUAUGGUGAUGAUGGCCCAAUACACAUCAACAGGAAUUUGCUCAACAGGAGGCUCCAAAUCAGGCACAUCCUUGUAAUCAUAAGUAGAGAGCUUCUCCAACUCAAAGAUCAACUCAAUCACUUGCAAUGUUAUUUUCAUCAAAUUGUUUAGCCCAAUAUACAUUGUAGGCCAUAGUUCCUUUUAAAUUUAAUUUUUCUUUUGGAUAGGUUCUUGUAAAUGAUAAUCCUUCAGUUUUGAUAUCUUUUGUCUCAAAAACAUUUAAUGCUGGUCAAAUUAUACUAAAGCUGCAUGUUAUUGAGCUGGAUGCACAGCCAGGUAUAUUUUACCAUGUAUGAACAGCUCAAGAGCCUUCUUUAGUCUGAUGUUGGAGCUAAUAUGAUGGCCGCUUCUGGUGCUGGAGCUACAACAACAAUGUUCACAAAUCCACUUUGGGUUGUCAAGACUAGACUCCAAGUAUGAGUUCUAAGGUUCACCAGAUGCAUUCUCUACUUCAAUUCAUGAAUAUAAAAUACCCCUAAAGGUCUUUUAGGAUUGCAUUCAUAUUUUUAUUUUAAGACUUUUAUGUAAUUAGAUAAUAUUAAAAUAUUGAAGUUGUUAUUUUAUUUUACUUUUUAAAGAAAAACAGUAAUAGUUAUGUAGAACAAUACCAUAUGAAAUUAUGUUUGGAACUAUUGACAUUGAG